AACUCUGACCGAGCAACGCCGCGUGAACGAUGAAGUAUUUAGGUACGUAAAGUUCUUUUAUUAAAGAAGAAAAAAUGAUGGAAAAAUCAUUCUGACGGUAUUUAAUGAAUAAGCCCCGGCUAACUAUGUGCCAGCAGCUGCGGUAAUACAUGGGGGGCAAGCGUUAUCCGGAUUUAUUGGGCGUAAAGGGUGCGUAGGCGGUUAAAUAAGUCUAUGGUAUAAGUUCAACGCUUAACGUUGUGAUGCUAUAGAAACUGUUUGACUAGAGUUGGAUAGAGGCAAGUGGAAUUCCAUGUGUAGCGGUAAAAUGCGUAAAUAUAUGGAGGAACACCAGUAGCGAAGGCGGCUUGCUGGGUCUUAACUGACGCUGAGGCACGAAAGCGUGGGGAGCAAACAGGAUUAGAUACCCUGGUAGUCCACGCCGUAAACGAUGAGUACUAAGUGUUGGGUUAAACCAGUGCUGAAGUUAACACAUUAAGUACUCCGCCUGAGUAGUACGUACGCAAGUAUGAAACUUAAAGGAAUUGACGGGACUCCGCACAAGCGGUGGAUCAUGUUGUUUAAUUCGAAGAUACACGAAAAACCUUACCAGGUCUUGACAUACUCUGCAAAGCUAUAGAAAUAUAGUGGAGGUUAUCAGGGAUACAGGUGGUGCAUGGUUGUCGUCAGCUCGUGUCGUGAGAUGUUGGGUUAAGUCCCGCAACGAGCGCAACCCUUAUCACUAGUUACCAUCAUUUAGUUGGGCACUUUAGUGAGACUGCCAAUGAUAAAUUGGAGGAAGGUGGGGAUUACGUCAAAUCAUCAUGCCCCUUAUGACCUGGGCUACAAACGUGAUACAAUGGCUGUUACAAAGAGUAGCUGAAACGUGAGUUUUUAGCAAAUCUCAAAAAAACAGUCUCAGUUCGGAUUGAAGUCUGCAACUCGACUUCAUGAAGUCGGAAUCGCUAGUAAUCGCGAAUCAGCAUGUCGUGGUGAAUACGUUCUCGGGGUUUGUACACACCGCCCGUCAAACCACGAAAGUUGACAAUACCCAAAACCAGUAGCCUAACUUGCAAAAGAGGGAACUGUCUAAGGUAGGGUUGAUGAUUGGGGUUAAGUCGUAACAAGGUAUCCCUACCGGAAGGUGGGGAUGGAUCACCUCCUUUCUAAGGAAAAUAUCAUCUUCAGUUGUGAAAGACUUAAAAAAAGUUUUUUAUUUUUUAAGAUAAAAAUCAAUAAUGGCUUGGGCCUAUAGCUCAGUUGGUUAGAGCACACGCCUGAUAAGCGUGAGGUCGAUGGUUCGAGUCCAUUUAGGCCCACCAAAAUAUUUAUUUUAAAAAAAA
rnacentral:sRNA from 1 species